rnacentral:tRNA from 4 species
GGAGGUGUGGCUGAGCGGUCUAAAGCGGCACGGUGCUAACGUGUUGUCCGGGUUAAACUGGACCGCAGGUUCGAAUCCUGCCACCUCCG